UUGGGGUUAGUAUUUUGCAUGUUUUGUUUGAUAAUUUGUUUACAGUUUAGUGGAAACUAUGGUCACGAUCGGUGUUAUUGUUGGUUGUUAAAAUAUUGUGAGUGCUCUAUACGCAAAUGAAUAUUCAAGAUGUUAUAUUCUAAAAGAUAUUAGUGGAUGCAGAUAAGAGUGUUUAGUGAGUGCUAUGUUUGAAUAUUGCAAGUGAAAACACAGCCUAUCGAUGUAAUGCGCCGAUAAACUAUCAUGACUGCAUUGAUGUAAUGCGCUA